rnacentral:rRNA from 1 species
GACGAAGGACCCCAAGCGUUAUCCGGAUUCAUUGGGUUUAAAGGGUGCGUAGGCGGGUUGAUAAGUCAGUGGUGAAAGCCCAACGCUUAACGUUGGAACUGCCAUUGAUACUGUCGAUCUUGAAUGUGUUUGAUGUGGGCGGAAUAUGACAUGUAGCGGUGAAAUGCUUAGAUAUGUCAUAGAACACCGAUUGCGAAGGCAGCUCACAAAGCCAUAAUUGACGCUGAAGCACGAAAGCGUGGGGAUCAAACAGGAUUAGAUA